CAGAGUUUUACGCUUGAAAGUUAGUGGGAAAGUGAGUUUACUGCUGUAGUUCGAGCCAUGGGUUCGCUGGCUUUGUUCCAAGGAGAAGUGGCUCAAGUUCAGGUUGCAGUUCAAGCACCAAUUCAGCUGAGGUGUUGCGCAGUUUACAAUGGGUUAAAGUUCGAAUAAAAUAAGGAAAGAUGGGUCCUUGCCUCAUACGAAUUUACAGGAUCUGGAAGAAGAAAUUAGGAGUUUGGGUUGCGUGGGAUUGCAGCAAGGGCAUUGAGCUACAAAACUGAAACUAGGGUUACAACAUAUCCCGAUACCCCCUGCUCACGACUGCUAUCAACACCAUCUCCAAAACCCUUCCAUCCACCAGUUUGCAUUCAUAUUUAUCACCUGCAUAUACAUCUCCAUCCACCUGCAUAUCCAUCUCCAACCCAUUACCACCUGCAUCUCAUUUUGUAUCAACAGAACCAUCUCCACCAGCAUACAUCCGUGUACCACCCUCCAUUCCAUCACCAGCACCUCCAUCCACAGUACCAUUAAGAUCAGUCUACAAGCCAAAGCAGCAACACAGCCACCACCAGAGCACUGUGCAGGCUUGAGUUCAAGACCAUCGACGACAAUAUCAAUUCGACAACAAUAUUCUCCAUACAGACACCAGUUCACAUCCAUCUACCAUCAGGCCAUUCGCAGGAAUUUUGAAAUUUCCUUAGAAGUUCUAUUCCCUGGGAUUCAAAGAAGGCGCUAAAUGCUCUAAGAACAACCUGUGGGUAAGGUAAAUUCAACCAAGAUAGUUCGACCAACUUUUCUGAAGUCUCCAUUUCCUAGUGCUAGUGCUUUUGAGAGCGCUGAGGGAUCGGAUGAUGUGGAUUUGGCUGACAAUUUUAAACUCAACUCUAGCUAUUUUCUUGCUAAUGGAUAUGCUGCAUUUUCCAAACUAUGCUUGGUCACAUGAGUGCCAUCGUGGAGCAAAAUCAUGUUUCUGCAGCCAGCAUGAUCCAUUCUAACAGUGUAUCUGCUGACCUGCGUGGUGUUCACCUUGAUCCGAUAGCAACUGACAUUAUUAGAAAAGAGCAUACGAAAGUUUUAUGCGCCUGAUAAUCAGUCCAAAUGGUAAACGAUGAUCUUCCUGUGGAUAUGCAUUAUUCUUAGUCUUGUUUGAAGCUGUAGUUGGUUGCAUUUAGUGGAAGAAGGUUCUGAGAUGAAAUGGUUAGUAAUGGACCGAAGAUAACUGGUGCUGUUGUUUUAUAGUUGCGAACAAGGGACUAAGAGAAAUGCUCGAAAACAAGACAGGAAGGAAACUAGGUCGAUGUUGUUGGGGGUUCUUGCGUGGACUGAACUUCAGUUCAGCUUGAGUAAAAUCAGGUCGAAGAAAGGAAGAUGGAGCUUAGAUAUUUGAGUUGGUUACUGACGCUGGUUAUCUUGUGCAGAGUCUGGGAAGUUCACGAGAUUGUGCAGGAAGCAGUGAUCGAUGGAGCAAAGAAGUUGCAGCCAUAUACCAGAUGGCUGUGCAUCAGGGAUUGAGCUGCCGACAGGAUAAUUGUCUAUAAUAUGAUGACAGGAUAAGAUCAUUGUUCAUGCCUUGGCGCCAUUAAGUCUGUCAAAUGCAGGGAGCAAUGAGUACUCAUAAAUAAUCCAACUCCCUUGCUCUCUUACCUCAAGAAGUUGAUACUCUUGGAACUCGUAGCUGGAUGAUAAGCAAGCAAAGGACCCGAAAGGUGCUAUUAAUCUCUCUGGUUCUCCUUAUGGAUAUUUUUCUCCUCCUAGUUGAGGAGGCUUAUACAACUCACCAAAUUAUGGACCAAAUGCUGGAGGAAAGUUUCAAAACAAUAAGUCUACUCGUUGGAUUCUUUACAUUGAGCAAGCGCCUACAAUAUGGUUGAACUUUGCUCUAUGUGGCUUGGUUGGAAUUAUUGCAGCAUACGAGGCAUGGAACCAACAUAAUUGCAGGCAUCAAUUUAGGUUUAGAAUCAACUACUUUUCCAGUUCUUGUCAUUAGUGUAGCCAUUAAUGUUGUUUCUUCUUUCUGGUUUGGUCGCACAUCACGCUGGUGGAGGAAACUGGAAUACCUACUGACGGAUGAAAGGUUGACUGCAGGUGUGUGAUAUCAAAUGCGGUUUCCGUUGACAAAAUGUAUCCAACAUAAAGACAAUCCUACACUAUUGCUAAUUUGUGCUGGUUUCAUCACAAUAUAUAUUCAUGGG